rnacentral:rRNA from 1 species
GAUGAACGCUGGCGGCGUGCCUAACACAUGCAAGUCGAACGAUGAAACCGCCCCCGGGCGGACAUGAAGUGGCGAACGGGUGAGUAACACGUGACCGACCUGCCCCCCGCCCAGGGACAGCCCCCCGAAAGGGGGAUUAAUACCUGGUACUCCGGAAGCGGCGCAUGCCGCCCCCGGGAAAGCUUUUCGCGGCGGGGGAUGGGGUCGCGGCCCAUCAGGUAGACGGCGGGGCAGAGGCCCACCGUGCCGACGACGGGUAGCCGGGUUGAGAGACCGACCGGCCACAUUGGGACUGAGAUACGGCCCAGACUCCUACGGGAGGCAGCAGUGGGGAAUUUUGCGCAAUGGGGGCAACCCUGACGCAGCAACGCCGCGUGCGGGACGAAGGCGUCCGCGUCGUAAACCGCUUUCAGCGGGGAACACUUUUCGAGGGUACCCGCAGAAGAAGCCCCGGCUAAAUACGUGCCAGCAGCCGCCGUAA